GAAAGAAAGGUUAGGGGCCAUCAGGUGUACUGUUGGCGGAUUUCAGGAAGCAUGGAAGAUUUGAAAGAUGUAGUGUCUCGAUAGCUGACAACUGAUGCAGGCAGUUUAUUCCAUGCUUCAGCAAUUCUGAGCAUGAAAAAAUGUUUCUGAAAGUCAUGGGUGCUGUGUUGAUUUUUUUUGGUGGGGGGAUUUUAUAAGCAUGUCUGCGAGUGCUUGUCAUAUGGAA